AACGCACAUUGCGCCCUCUGGUAUUCCGGGGGGCAUGCCUGUUCGAGCGUCAUUAUAACCACUCAAGCUCUCGCUUGGUAUUGGGGCUCGCGGUUCCGCGGCCCCUAAAAUCAGUGGCGGUGCCUGUCGGCUCUACGCGUAGUAAUACUCCUCGCGAUUGAGUCCGGUAGGUCUACUUGCCAGCAAACCCCAAUUUUUACAGGUUGACCUCGGAUCAGGUAGGGAUACCCGCUGAACUUAA
rnacentral:misc_RNA from 1 species